AGUGGGAUUUUUUUUUUUUACUAUCAAACUUAGUGUAUGAGUAAGAGCUGUUAGUUCAAAAUGGACAGCGAUUCCUAUCCAUCGUCUGCUAGAACGGUGAGGCGUUGCAAACGACGGCGGCGACCGCGUAAAAUCCGAACACAACGGCGACGGAUAGGUUCUUACACAUCUCUUGAGACUGAUACUACCGCAUCGCGAAGUCGAUCGGUAAGUGUUAAUUCCAGUUCUAGUUUUUUUUCAUUAUCACCCCUACGUCAACGGUCGCUCUCGUCGACUUCAUAUUCUCCUUGGAGCUCGAGUAGCGACGUGAAGUCUUUUCAUAGUAAAUCAACACUGUGGUUGGAAUCGGAUACAGAUGACGAACAUGGAAUUGGAAAUUGGUCUACAUCAGAACCAUCAAUAAUUUCGCUAGCAGAUUCAUGGUCAUCAACAGAUGUUACUUAUGAAUCGGAUGCAGACGUGUUACCUCCACUUCUGCGUCUUAAUCAGCCAGCUAUUGAAACCAUUUGGCUAACUGAUUCGGAUUAAUAUGGUUUUUAGGGAGGUAUUUAUUAUUGUUGAAAACAUGAACGUUAGAGAUCACUGUUAACAGAUAGAGUUGUUGGAAAUUAUUAUCAUGUGUACUCUACGCUAUGAGACUUAAAU